rnacentral:rRNA from 1 species
UGGGGGUAACGGCCCACCAAGGCGACGAUCGGUAGCGGGGUCUGAGAGGACGACCCGCCACACUGGGACUGAGACACGGCCCAGACUCCUACGGGAGGCAGCAGUGGGGAAUAUUGGACAAUGGGCGCAAGCCUGAUCCAGCAAUGCCGCGUGGGUGAAGACGGCCUGCGGGUUGUAAAGCCCUUUAGGCGGGGAGGAACGACGGGACGCUAAUAUCGUUUCGAAGUGACGUUACCCGCGGAAUAAGCACCGGCUAACUCCGUGCCAGCAGCCGCGGUAAUACGGAGGGUGCGAGCGUUAAUCGGAAUUACUGGGCGUAAAGCGUGCGUAGGCGGAUGGGUCAGUCAGCCGUGAAAGCCCCGGGCUUAACCUGGGAACGGCGGUUGAGACGGCUCGUCUGGAGUGGGCUAGAGGAUCGUGGAAUUCCGGGUGUAGCGGUGAAAUGCGUAGAGAUCCGGAGGAACACCGAUGGCGAAGGCAGCGGUCUGGGGCCACACUGACGCUGAGGCACGACGGCGUGGGGAGC